AUGAUGGAAUUGGUAGACAUGCUAGGUUUAGGUUCUAGUUCAAUUUGAGUAGGGGUUCAAAUCCCCUUUUUG
rnacentral:tRNA from 1 species